rnacentral:rRNA from 1 species
CUGGUCUGAGAGGACGACCAGCCACACUGGAACUGAGACACGGUCCAGACUCCUACGGGAGGCAGCAGUGGGGAAUUUUGGACAAGUGGGCGCAAGCCUGAUCCAGCCAUGCGCGUGAGUGAAGAAGGCCUUCGGGUUGUAAAGCUCUUUCAGCCGGAAAGAAAACGCACGGGUUAAUAACCUGUGUGGAUGACGGUACCGGAAGAAGAAGCACCGGCUAACUACGUGCCAGCAGCCGCGGUAAUACGUAGGGUGCGAGCGUUAAUCGGAAUUACUGGGCGUAAAGCGUGCGCAGGCGGUUUUGUAAGACAGAUGUGAAAUCCCCGGGCUUAACCUGGGAACUGCAUUUGUAACUGCAAGGCUAGAGUACGGCAGAGGGGGGUAGAAUUCCACGUGUAGCAGUGAAAUGCGUAGAUAUGUGGAGGAAUACCGAUGGCGAAGGCAGCCCCCCUGGGUCGAUACUGACGCUCAUGCACGAAAGCGUGGGGGAGCA